UACAGAGGUCCCAAGCGUUGUUCGGAUUCAUUGGGCGUAAAGGGUGCGUAGGUGGCAGGGUAAGUUGGAUGUGAAAUCCCGGGGCUCAACCCCGGAACUGCAUUCAAUACUGCCCUGCUAGAGUACUGGAGAGGAGAUUGGAAUUCAUGGUGUAGCAGUGAAAUGCGUAGAUAUCAUGAGGAAGACCAGUGGCGAAGGCGGAUCUCUGGACGGUUACUGACACUGAGGCACGAAGGCCAGGGGAGCAAACGGG
rnacentral:rRNA from 1 species